rnacentral:RNase_P_RNA from 1 species
UAUUUCGGGUAAUCGCUAUAGCGAUAUAGAGGAAAGUCCAUGCUCACACAAUCUGAGAUUGAUUGUAGUGUUCGUGCUUGAUGAAACAAUAAGUCAAGGCAAUAUGACGGCAGCGAAAUAACCUAAGUCUUCAAGAUAAGGUUAAAAUAGCUUGAAAGUGCCACAGUGACGUAGCUUUUGCAGAAAUGUAAAAGGUGGAACGCGGUAAACCCCUCGAGUGAGCAAUCCAAAUUUGGUAGGAGCACUUGUUUAGCGGAAUUCAACGUAUAAACAAGGAAAUGACCGUGCAUAAAUCGGUAUUUCAGACAGAUGGUUACCACCAGCGUACCAGUGCAUACUAGUGCACGUGAUGAGUACUAAGGUACAGAACAUGGCUUAUAGAG